rnacentral:rRNA from 1 species
AAAGGUAAGCUACUAAGAGCGAAUGGUGGAUGCCUUGACUGGUAGAGGCGAUGAAGGACGUACUAGACUGCGAUAAGCUAGGUGGAGCUGUCAAGAAGCUUUGAUGCCUAGAUUUCCGAAUGGGGCAACCCAGUAUAUAGAGAUAUAUACUACCAUAAUGGAGCGAACGAGGGGAAUUGAAACAUCUUAGUACCCUCAGGAAAAGAAAUCAAACGAGAUUGCGUCAGUAGCGGCGAGCGAAAGCGUAAGAGGGCAAACCCAGUGCUUGCACUGGGGGUUGUAGGACUGCAAUGUGCAAGAGGAAAGGUUAGCAGAACACUCUGGAAAGUGUAGCCAUAGAGGGUGAUAGUCCCGUAUGCAAAAACCUAACCUUAGCUAGCAGUAUCCUGAGUAGGGCGGGACACGAGAAAUCCUGUCUGAAGCUGGGUAGACCACUAUCCAACCCUAAAUACUACUACCAGAUCGAUAGCGAACAAGUACCGUGAGGGAAAGGUGAAAAGAACGGCGGUGAGCCGAGUGAAAUAGAACCUGAAACCAUUUGCUUACAAUCAUUCAGAGCACUAUGUAGCAAUACAGUGUGAUGGACUGCCUUUUGCAUAAUGAGCCUGCGAGUUGUGGUGUCUGGCAAGGUUAAGCUAACGCGAAGCCGUAGCGAAAGCGAGUCUGAAUAGGGCGCUAAGUCAGAUGCUGCAGACCCGAAACGAAGUGAUCUAUCCAUGAGCAGG